CGUGAGCAAUCUACCUUGGAGUGGGGAACAACACAGUGAAAACUGUGCUAAUACCGCAUAAUACAACUGUGUCGCAUGGCAGUGGUUGUCAAAGAUUUAUCGCUCUGAGAUGAGCUCGCGUCUGAUUAGCUAGUAGGCGGGGUAAAGGCCCACCUAGGCGACGAUCAGUAGCCGGACUGAGAGGUUGGCCGGCCACAUUGGGACUGAGACACGGCCCAGACUCCUACGGGAGGCAGCAG
rnacentral:rRNA from 1 species